GCGACCGGCGCACGGGUGAGUAACGCGUAUGCAACUUACCUAUCAGAGGGGGAUAACCCGGCGAAAGUCGGACUAAUACCGCAUGAAGCAGGGGCCCCGCAUGGGGAUAUUUGCUAAAGAUUCAUCGCUGAUAGAUAGGCAUGCGUUCCAUUAGGCAGUUGGCGGGGUAACGGCCCACCAAACCGACGAUGGAUAGGGGUUCUGAGAGGAAGGUCCCCCACAUUGGUACUGAGACACGGACCAAACUCCUACGGGAGGCAGCAUG
rnacentral:rRNA from 1 species